GGCACUAUAGCCAAGUGGUUACGGCGACAGAUUCGAAUUAAAUAUCUGUUUCCCUCUGGGAGCGCAGGUUCAAAUCCUGCUGGUGUCG